rnacentral:rRNA from 1 species
UACGUAGGGUGCGAGCGUUGCCCGGAUUUAUUGGGCGUAAAGAGCUCGUAGGCGGUCUGUCGCGUCGGACGUGAAAACCCAGGGCUCAACCCUGGGCCUGCGUUCGAUACGGGCAGACUAGAGUUCGGUAGGGGAGACUGGAAUUCCUGGUGUAGCGGUGAAAUGCGCAGAUAUCAGGAGGAACACCGGUGGCGAAGGCGGGUCUCUGGGCCGAAACUGACGCUGAGGAGCGAAAGCGUGGGGAGCGAACAGG